rnacentral:rRNA from 1 species
AUUGAACGCUGGCGGCAGGCCUAACACAUGCAAGUCGAACGAGUGGCGGACGGGUGAGUAAUGUCUGGGACACUGCCUGAUGGAGGGGGAUAACUACUGGAAACGGUAGCUAAUACCGCAUACCAUCAGAUGUGCCCAGAUGGGAGUAGCUAGUUGGUGGGGUAACGGCUCACCAAGGCGACGAUCCCUAGCUGGUCUGAGAGGAUGACCAUCCACACUGGAACGGAGACACGGGCCAGACUCCUACGGGAGGCAGCAGUGGGGAAUAUUGCACAAUGGGCGCAAGCCUGAUGCAGCCAUGCCGCGUGUGUGAAGAAGGUCUUCGGAUUGUAAAGCACUUUAAGUUGGGAGGCGUUACCAACAGAAUAAGCACCGGCUAACUUCGUGCCAGCAGCCGCGGUAAUAC